rnacentral:rRNA from 1 species
UACGGAGGGGGCAAGCGUUGUUCGGAUUUACUGGGCGUAAAGGGCGCGUAGGCGGCGUGACAAGUCACUUGUGAAAUCUCCGGGCUUAACUCGGAACUGCCAAGUGAUACUGUCGUGCUAGAGUGCAGAAGGGGCAAUCGGAAUUCUUGGUGUAGCGGUGAAAUGCGUAGAUAUCAAGAGGAACGCCAGAGGCGAAGGCGGAUUGCUGGGCUGACACUGACGCUGAGGCGCGAAAGCUAGGGUAGCAAACGGG